UACGGAGGGUGCGAGCGUUGUUCGGAAUCACUGGGCGUAAAGCGCGUGUAGGCGGCCUGCUAAGUCUGAUGUGAAAGCCCGAGGCUCACCCUCGGAAGUGCAUUGGAAACUGGCAGACUGGAGUCCCGGAGAGGAGGGUGGAAUUCCUGGUGUAGUGGUGAAAUGCGUAGAGAUCAGGAGGAACACCGGUGGCGAAGGCGGCCUACUGGGCUGUCUCUGACGCUGAGGCGCGAAAGCUCGGGGAGCGAACGGG
rnacentral:rRNA from 1 species